GUCGCCGGUGGGGCGGGCGGUCUCCUCAAGGACGACCACGGGGAGAAAGAAACCGAACCGAACCCCACCCCUCCGCCCCGCCGAGGCCACGCUCACUCGCUUGAGUGAAUAUGCCCAAAUCGGCUGGCCAUAGGGAGGGUUGCUUGAUCUACGCUCAGCGCGACACACCACAUCACUGCCGACAUACGUCGGCCCCCGCCGGGACGGCAAUCCCGAUGCGAGGGCCUGACCACCAAGGAAGAGAACAGCUUCCCG
rnacentral:ncRNA from 1 species